ACUUGUAACAUGCUUUAAAGUAACGUCAAGCUAAAUAUGCUAAAUAUCUGCAAAUAUCUUUGUCCAGUCCAGUACGUCUAGUAUAAAAUGUUAACGUGACUAGAGUUUUUGACGAACGAAAACAUCAUAACACAAUAAAAAAUUAAACCAUUCGUUCCUAAUCAAUACAAACAAUUGUAUUUAAAAAAAAAAAAUUCCUGUGAUGAUUCCGACAAUUCCCGGAAUCCUAACCUAAAGGUGUUCGUGGUCAACUGUCAAAAUUUAUUUCGAUUUUUUGAUAGAUCCAUUUUAUAAUAGCCAGAAAAAGCGUAAGCAAUCAUUUUUCACACAAACUUGAACAGUAACAUAGAAAAAUGUGCGAGAAAUCACAAGAGGAAAGAAAUACAGAGAUUCGAAAAAAAAUGCUAGACCUUGAAGAAGUUGAGAUUGGCCCGGUGCCCGAUGAUUCGCCCUGGAUUAAAACGAUUCGAGUGAGCUAUCUUCAGGAUAAAACUUUAAAAUCUUGGGAUAUGAUGAUGUCGCACGAGGGUGUGGCUAUUAUAGUAUUCAAUACUACCAGAAAAAAGCUUAUUUUUGUGAGACAACUUCGUCCAGCUUAUUAUAUUGCUGCCUUGCCAGAAAGUGAUAGAAAUUCUAGCAAGGUGGAUGUAAAAAAAUAUCCUGCGACUCUGGGACUUACUUUGGAACUUUGUGCUGGAAUGGUUGAUAAGGAUAAGUCCACUGUUGAAAUCGCAGUCGAUGAAUUGAGGGAAGAAUGUGGUUACGAAGCACCUCCAUCUGCUUUUGAAAAAAUUAGCACUUACAGAUCUUCAGUUGUAUCUUCAACUUCCGGUCAAACGCUAUUCUAUGUCGAAGUCACCGAUGAAAUGCAGAAACAUAAGGGAGGUGGUGAAGAUUCGGAAGGCGAAUUGAUAGAAAUUGUUGAGAUGAGUGUGGAAGAGGCGAAAAGCUACGCCAAUUCCGGGGAGGUACAAAGUUUAACCUUUUUGUAUGGAGUGACCUGGUUUUUGUUAAAUAAACAAAAUCGCUAUUUGUAGCCAAGUCUUCUUGAAAUCUAUCUCUUCCGUGAAAAGAUUUCGUGGGUGUAACUGGAAACAUUACUUUUAAUCAGCUUUGUCGACAUACUUGUGUAAAUGUUAACUGGUAAAAACGAAGUAAAAAACAAGACCGUUAUCUGCACUUUUACCAAAGCCAUGUUUGGAAACCCACAUGAAACCUGCCCCCCAGCUACAGGAUUAAUUACGCUCGAGUCAAAAAAUUUGAUACCACGUUUUACGACUUUUCAUACUCUUUCAAGGCCAAAAUCGUUAUCAAUCUUAAUGUGAAGGCCCUGCAAUCAAUUAAAGACUUUAAUGGAGAUGAGCUGAGACAAAGCAGAGAAGAACAAUCUAUUCGUUCAGGUAAAAAUAUUUUUAAUCAACCCGGGUCAAUAAUAUCAAAUCAGCCGCUCUGUUUUUUUUGCGUAAUCCCCAAAAAAUGUAUGGAGCCAGCGUAGUGUUCAUACAAUAUAGUACAUGAACGGUGUU